rnacentral:tRNA from 2 species
AGGGGCGUAGCUCAGUUGGCUAGAGCGUCGGUCUCCAAAACCGAAGGCCGGGGGUUCGAGUCCCUCCGCCCCUGCCA